ACAACUUUCAACGGCGGAUCUCUUGGCUCGUGCAUCGAUGAAUAACGCAGCCAGCUGCGAUAAGUAGUGUGAAUUGCAGAAUUCAGUGGAUCAUCGAAUCUUUGAACGCAAAUGGCGCUUUCGGGUC
rnacentral:rRNA from 1 species